rnacentral:rRNA from 1 species
UACGAAGGGUGCAAACGUUGCUCGGAAUUAUUGGGCGUAAAGCGCACGUAGGCGGCAUUGCAAGUCGGAUGUGAAAUCCCUCGGCUUAACCAAGGAAGUGCAUCCGAAACUGCAGUGCUUGAGUACGAAAGAGGAUCGCGGAAUUCCCGGUGUAGAGGUGAAAUUCGUAGAUAUCGGGAGGAACACCAGUGGCGAAGGCGGCGAUCUGGGUCGAUACUGACGCUGAGACGCGAAAGCGUGGGGAGCGAACAGG